GACUGGUACAGUUGUUUUGAGUUUUGAAUUGCCGUACCUCCCCACCAAAGCACUUGGUUUCCUGCAGCGGCUUGAGAGGAGGGCAGUAUUGCUGAGUAUCCAUGGCUGCUCCGUAGCCAUCGUGUGCUUCUUUAACCUCAGAGAUGACAGAGGACGAACCGAGUGCUUGAAAGGCGGGACAGAAAACCUUCGUUGGAGACGUGCUGCAGACUGACGGUGAACACAGGAUGACACAGCAGACAGAGAGUGGAGAUGACAACUAAAACACUGGCGGCGUCUGGAGUCCCAGGGCUAGUUGGCAUGGUGACGCUGAUGGAAUGGCCGUUGCUAGGAGAUGAAGAGAGCGGCCAGAAAGAGCAUCGUCACGGUGAGGAGAAGGCGAUCCCUGGAUGGGCUGCUUCCGCUGACGCUCUUCUCCAGCUUGGGAACAAAAGGGUUAUAAUCAUCUGGAAAAAAAACAAAAAAAACGAGAGAAAGAAUUAAUUUUAUAUCUAUUCAUUACAAAUACCAGCAGAGGAUGAAAAACUCAAAAGGAAAAUAAAGAAAAAAGACAAGUGU